UACAGAGGUGGCAAGCGUUGUUCGGAAUUACUGGGCGUAAAGGGCGCGUAGGCGGCCUCGCAAGUCCCGUGUGAAAUCCCUCGGCUCAACUAAGGAAUGGCACGGGAAACUGCGGGGCUUGAGUUCGGGAGAGGGGAAGCGGAAUUCCGGGUGUAGCGGUGAAAUGCGUAGAUAUCCGGAGGAACACCGGUGGCGAAGGCGGCUUCCUGGACCGAUACUGACGCUGAGGCGCGAAAGCUAGGGGAGCAAACGGG
rnacentral:rRNA from 1 species